rnacentral:rRNA from 1 species
UACGUAGGGUGCAAGCGUUAAUCGGAAUUACUGGGCGUAAAGCGUGCGCAGGCGGUUUUGUAAGCCAGAUGUGAAAUCCCCGGGCUUAACCUGGGAAUGGCAUUUGGGACUGCAAGGCUCGAGUGCGGCAGAGGAGACUGGAAUUCCUGGUGUAGCAGUGAAAUGCGUAGAUAUCAGGAGGAACACCGAUGGCGAAGGCAGGUCUCUGGGCUGACACUGGACGCU